CGCUCAGCGGCCACAGUGCUGGCCUAUGCCAUGAAGCAGUACGAAUGCAGCCUGGAGCAGGCCCUGCGCCACGUGCAGGAGCUCCGGCCCAUCGCCCGCCCCAACCCUGGCUUCCUGCGCCAGCUGCAGAUCUACCAGGGCAUCCUGACGGCCAGAGCCAUGUCUGGGAGCAGAAAGUGGGUGGGGUCUCCCCAGAGGAGCACCCAGCCCCUGAAGUCUCUACACCAUUCCCACCUCUUCCGCCAGAACCUGAGGGUGGUGGGGAGGAGAAGGUUGUAGGCAUGGAAGAGAGCCAGGCAGCCCCGAAAGAAGAGCCUGGGCCACGGCCACGUAUAAACCUCCGAGGGGUCAUGAGGUCCAUCAGUCUUCUGGAGCCCUCCUUGGAGCUGGAGAGCACCUCAGAGACCAGUGACAUGCCAGAGGUCUUCUCUUCCCACGAGUCUUCACAUGAAGAGCCUCUGCAGCCCUUCCCACAGCUUGCAAGGACCAAGGGAGGCCAGCAGGUGGACAGGGGGCCUCAGCCUGCCCUGAAGUCCCGCCAGUCAGUGGUUACCCUCCAGGGCAGUGCCGUGGUGGCCAACCGGACCCAGGCCUUCCAGGAGCAGGAGCAGGGGCAGGGGCAGGGGCAGGGAGAGCCCUGCAUUUCCUCUACGCCCAGGUUCCGGAAGGUGGUGAGACAGGCCAGCGUGCAUGACAGUGGAGAGGAGGGCGAGGCCUGAGCCCUCACACAUGCCCACGCUCCCCUGACACUGAAGAGGAUCCACAACUCCUUGGAGAAACACCCUCACGUCUGUUGCCGCACACAUUCCUCUCAGCUCCGCCCCAUACCCGUCACUACAGCCUCACCUCCCACCCCUGUCACUACGGCCUCACCUCCCACCCCUGUCACUACAGCCUCACCUCCUACAGCCUUAAGUCCCAGGCCCAUGUCUGCCUGUCCAAGGGCUCAAGACUUUCUAACUGGGAUGUGGUAGAGGGACUGAAGGUACCUUUGGGGGCAACAGCACCCUAGUUUCAUUCUCAACUCUAGCCCUGCACACUCACCUGUGGCACGGAAUGAAAACAGAGCUUCCCGUGCAAAAAGGGUCACGCCUCCCACCCCCGCCCCCUCCCUGCACCUCCUGUCCUCUCCCAGUUCAUUCCUGGAACCAGCCAGGCCAGGCAACCAGUGGCCCCCAAAGGCAGGCAGGAUCCUCAGGCCCCAGCCGCGGGAGGCUGGAAGGGCUGGCAGAUCGCUUCCCUCAUCCACCUCCACCGGUCCAGGUCUUUGCUGCUGUCCCCAGACCUCCUGUGACACCACGCCAGAUCACAGGGCACCAGGCCAGAGAUAGUCUUCUUUUUGUCCUUUCUGGCCUCUGGCUAGUCAGUUUUUCAUAGCCUUACAGUAUCUGGCUUUGUACUGAGAAAUAAAACACAUUUUCAUAUUUGGUUAUUU
rnacentral:lncRNA from 1 species